rnacentral:sRNA from 1 species
ACAUAGCUAUGUGAUAGGAAAGUCUGCUUUGAACUUAGUCUAAGUUCAAAACUUUGACAAAGCUUGACCUAGC